GCUUUGGGGGAGGGGCAGGAAAGGAGGAGCCAGAGGAGGUGUCUGCUGCAAGUUCCUGGCUGCUUCUGAGCUCACCCCAUCCUCCGAGAGGGAGGAGGCCAAGUGGUGAUGCCGCUGCUCCUGCCGCCUCGACUGCUGAUGCUCUAGUGAGGCUGGAAGGGUGGUUCCUCUUAGCACCAUCGCCAACCAGAGAGUGAGGGAACAAAAUCCCAGCAGCAGUGCUGAUGUUGCGUUCGGAGGCUGCAUCCGACACGGUCACAAGGAAAAUGGAUUCAGUUUGCAUCUUUCCCUCCCUUCAACAGCUUCUCCAGGUCUCAGCAUGGGCUUCUAGGGCAGCACCUGAGGAGACCUUACCAAGGAGCACCACGCAGUAGAUGCUGAAAACAUCGCACCCACGAUACAAAGCAGUAACAUGGCAGCACCUGUUUGAAAGGCAUUCACAAACAAGACUCCCUUCAGAAAGGAACAAUGUCUAAGAAAGGGCGAAAUAAGGGCGAGAAGCCCGAAGCGCUCAUCGUCGCCCUUCAAGCUGCCAAUGAAGAUCUCAGGACCAAGCUCACAGAUAUCCAGAUAGAGCUGCAUCAAGAGAAGUCCAAGGUGUCUAAGCUUGAAAGAGAGAAGACUCAAGAAGCAAAGAGGAUCCGUGAGCUGGAGCAGCGCAAGCACACGGUCCUGGUGACGGAACUCAAAGCCAAGCUCCAUGAGGAGAAGAUGAAGGAGCUGCAGGCUGUGAGGGAGAAUCUCAUCAAGCAGCAUGAGCAAGAAAUGUCAAGGACAGUGAAGCUGCGGGAUGGAGAGAUCCAGAGGCUCAAGUCGGCCCUGUGUGCUCUCCGGGACGGCAGCAGUGACAAAGUAAGGACAGCGCUCACCAUUGAGGCCCGGGAGGAGGCCCGGAAGCUGUUUGAUGCCGAGCGCCUUAAGCUCUUACAGGAAAUUGCGGACCUGAAAACUGCCAAGAAGCAGGUGGACGAGGCUCUAAGCAAUAUGAUCCAGGCAGAUAAGAUCAAGGCCGGCGACCUUAGGAGUGAGCACCAGUCCCACCAGGAAGCCAUCUCCAAGAUCAAGUGGGAAUCAGAGCGGGACAUUCGGAGGCUGAUGGAUGAGAUUAAAGCCAAGGACAGGAUCAUCUUUUCCCUGGAAAAGGAACUGGAGACCCAAACUGGCUAUGUACAGAAACUGCAGCUGCAGAAGGAGGCAUUGGAUGAACAGCUCUUUCUGGUCAAGGAGGCUGAGUGUAACAUGAGCAGUCCGAAACGAGAGAUUCCGGGAAGAGCAGGAGACGGCUCUGAGCACUGCGGCAGCCCUGAUUUGAGAAGAAAUCAGAAGAGAAUAGCUGAAUUGAAUGCCACUAUAAGAAAAUUAGAAGACAGGAACACCCUGCUUGGAGAUGAACGAAACGAACUGUUAAAACGUGUGCGGGAAACCGAGAAACAAUGUAAACCUCUUCUGGAAAGGAACAAGUGCCUCGCCAAGAGGAACGAUGAGCUGAUGGUGUCUUUGCAACGCAUGGAAGAGAAGUUAAAAGCCGUUACUAAGGAAAAUUCAGAAAUGAGAGAAAAAAUAACAUCCCACCCACCCUUAAAGAAAUUAAAAUCUCUGAAUGACCUCGAUCAAGCUAAUGAAGAACAAGAGACAGAGUUUUUAAAACUUCAAGUCAUUGAGCAGCAGAACAUUAUUGAUGAGCUCACAAGGGACCGAGAAAAGCUCAUCCGUAGGAGAAAACAUAGAAGAAGUUCCAAGCCAAUUAAGAGGCCUGUUUUGGAUCCAUUUAUUGGCUAUGAUGAGGACUCCAUGGAUUCAGAGACAUCAUCCAUGGCCUCGUUUAGAACUGACCGAACACCAGCUACUCCUGAUGAUGACUUAGAUGAAAGUUUAGCAGCUGAGGAAUCUGAGCUACGAUUUCGACAAUUAACAAAAGAAUAUCAGGCCCUCCAAAGAGCAUAUGCCCUCCUGCAGGAGCAGACUGGAGGUAUCAUCGAUGCUGAAAGGGAAGCCAAGGCUCAAGAACAGCUGCAAGCAGAGGUGCUAAGGUAUAAAGCCAAAAUUGAAGAUCUGGAAGCGACUCUGGCUCAGAAAGGGCAGGACUCACACUGGGUAGAAGAUAAACAACUUUUCAUUAAGAGAAACCAGGAGCUUUUAGAAAAGAUAGAAAAACAGGAGGCAGAAAAUCACCGGUUACAACAGGAACUGCAGGAUGCCCGAGACCAGAAUGAGCUGCUGGAGUUUCGAAACCUAGAGCUAGAAGAAAGAGAGAGACGAUCCCCUCCAUUUAACCUACAAAUUCACCCAUUCUCUGAUGGUGUAAGUGCUCUACAGAUCUACUGUAUGAAAGAAGGUGUCAAGGAUGUGAACAUCCCUGAUCUCAUAAAGCAGCUUGAUAUCCUGGGUGAUAAUGGGAACUUAAGAAAUGAAGAACAAGUGGCCAUAAUUCAGGCCAGCACUGUGCUGUCCCUGGCAGAAAAGUGGAUCCAGCAAAUUGAAGGAGCAGAGGCUGCCCUACACCAGAAAAUGAUGGAAUUGGAAAGUGACAUGGAACAGUUCUGCAAAAUAAAAGGCUACCUAGAGGAAGAACUAGACUACAGAAAACAAGCUCUCGACCAAGCAUAUAUGAGAAUCCAGGAGCUAGAAGCUACUUUGUACAAUGCUCUGCAGCAAGAAACUGUUAUCAAGUUUGGUGAAUUGUUAAGUGAAAAACAGCAAGAGGAGCUGAGGACAGCAGUAGAAAAGUUACGGCGGCAGAUGCUGAGGAAGAGCAGAGAGUAUGACUGUCAGAUUCUUCAGGAGAGAAUGGAGCUCUUACAGCAAGCCCAUCAGAGAAUUCGUGACUUAGAAGAUAAAACAGACAUCCAGAAACGACAGAUAAAGGACUUAGAAGAAAAGUUUCUGUUUCUAUUCUUGUUCUUCUCUCUUGCCUUUAUUCUAUGGCCUUGAUGUCAAGGUGCCUCUUAAAGGGAAUCCCCAGGUCAAGACCUCAGAGUGGAGUCUACAUGCCACUGGAUACAAUUGUUGAGGAGGAAAUAUGACAUAAAAAGUAACCGAAAACACGGAUAAGACCCCAGAAAGGCAAAUGCUUCUAGACCUUCAAAGAUGGCAGAAAUGUUUACAACAGUGAGAGGGAGAUCAAAAGCUAAGAACUACCCUGUAGCCAGGACUACAACUGUGUAUUUUAAAGCCAUUAUUCAAGGUUUCUUACUUGACAGUUCCCACAUGACCCUGUUGAAAAUCUACAAUAUAUGCUGCAUUUAAUGAAACAUGUAUAUGUCAAACCAGAAGAAAAGAACUAUAAACGUAUAUUAUGUAAAGAAAAAGUUCAGCAAUGGAAACAGUUUCAGCAGAUCAAGGAAAGAUGUGUCUUGGGCAUGGAACCAAAGUUACAAAGAAACACUGUCCCUCUGCUGUGCAGGGGGAUCAUUUUAAUGUAACACCACACCCCAUGGAAACACUAGUCCUGAAAUAAACAUUUUCAAAAAUCAAAACAAAGGAAAAAACAAGGGCGGGUGGGGAAUGAAGCACGAGGAAUACCUAUGAGGAGCUAUUUACAAUAAAAUGUUUCAUUUGAAAAGUCUGGUUUCUUACUACAGGGAUUUGCUUUUUGUCUUUAUUGUUGUUUAAAACUCAGGAACAGAGCCGCCUGCAAUGUGAAUGGGAAGGAAAGCAGUCUCCCGUUUGUUUCUCUUCCAGAGGUGGAGCUUGUGGAUGCAUUCCACAGAGGACAGAUGAGAGCGCACCACAAUGACCCCCACUCAACGGGCAACAAGGCGGAGGACCUAGGCGAAUGUAACAUAAGAAAUAAAAGCAGAUUUGAUGCUGCCUUGGCCUUCUGCCACAUCUGUCUUCCUCCACGAACAGACUGAUCUCAUUCAUAUUGAAAAUUAAGAAGAUGAUGCCCUGAAUCACAAGUUCCCUGACUCGGUUCUGUUAACAAUGCUACCAUCUAUCUCUAGGGCACACGGGCCCGAGAGCAUCUCUGAAUCCAUUUCCAAAAUACUGGUUUUCAAAUGGCUGCUUAAAAUUGCCUGCAAAUAAAUAUGUUAUACUGUUUGAAUAAAAACACAGUAGAGGUGAAAAGUAAACUUCUACCAACAGCUGAGUUUGCCACAGAGAUGCAAAAGAUCAACAAAAUUUUGAUUUUUUUUAAAGUAUCCUGAUAUGCCUAGAGCAUUCUGACCUCUUGUCGUUUAGACUGAUAACAUUUUUUCCCCCAGAGAGCUGACAGCAACAAGACAGCUCUACUUUUUUUUUUAUAUA